rnacentral:rRNA from 1 species
CAGCCGCCGCGGUAACACGAAGGGGGCUAGCGUUGCUCGGAAUCACUGGGCGUAAAGGGUGCGUAGGCGGGUCUUUAAGUCAGGGGUGAAAUCCUGGAGCUCAACUCCAGAACUGCCUUUGAUACUGAAGAUCUUGAGUUCGGGAGAGGUGAGUGGAACUGCGAGUGUAGAGGUGAAAUUCGUAGAUAUUCGCAAGAACACCAGUGGCGAAGGCGGCUCACUGGCCCGAUACUGACGCUGAGGCACGAAAGCGUGGGGAGCAAACAGGAUUAGAUACCCCCGUAGUCCCUGUCUCUUAUAA